rnacentral:rRNA from 1 species
AUUGAACGCUGGCGGCAGGCCUAACACAUGCAAGUCGAGCGGUAGCACAGGAGAGCUUGCUCUCUGGGUGACGAGCGGCGGACGGGUGAGUAAUGUCUGGGAAACUGCCUGAUGGAGGGGGAUAACUACUGGAAACGGUAGCUAAUACCGCAUAACGUCUUCGGACCAAAGUGGGGGACCUUCGGGCCUCACGCCAUCAGAUGUGCCCAGAUGGGAUUAGCUAGUAGGUGGGGUAAUGGCUCACCUAGGCAACGAUCCCUAGCUGGUCUGAGAGGAUGACCAGCCACACUGGAACUGAGACACGGUCCAGACUCCUACGGGAGGCAGCAGUGGGGAAUAUUGCACAAUGGGCGCAAGCCUGAUGCAGCCAUGCCGCGUGUGUGAAGAAGGCCUUCGGGUUGUAAAGCACUUUCAGCGAGGAGGAAGGGUUCAGUGUUAAUAGCACUGUUCAUUGACGUUACUCGCAGAAGAAGCACCGGCUAACUCCGUGCCAGCAGCCGCGGUAAUACGGAGGGUGCAAGCGUUAAUCGGAAUUACUGGGCGUAAAGCGCACGCAGGCGGUUUGUUAAGUCAGAUGUGAAAUCCCCGCGCUUAACGUGGGAACUGCAUUUGAAACUGGCAAGCUAGAGUCUUGUAGAGGGGGGU